GGUGUGUUGGGUCGUAUUUGUUCACUUCUGACGAGUCCCAAAAGGGACGAAACACACG
rnacentral:hammerhead_ribozyme from 11 species